GUGCCAGCAGCCGCGGUAAUACGUAGGGCGCAAGCGUUAUCCGGAUUUAUUGGGCGUAAAGGGCUCGUAGGCGGCUCGUCGCGUCNCGGUGUGAAAGUCCAUCGCUUAACGGUGGAUCUGCGCCGGGUACGGGCGGGCUGGAGUGCGGUAGGGGAGACUGGAAUUCCCGGUGUAACGGUGGAAUGUGUAGAUAUCGGGAAGAACACCGAUGGCGAAGGCAGGUCUCUGGGCCGUCACUGACGCUGAGGAGCGAAAGCGUGGGGAGCGA
rnacentral:rRNA from 1 species